rnacentral:misc_RNA from 1 species
GAUGAAGAACGCAGCGAAAUGCGAUAAGUAAUGUGAAUUGCAGAAUUCAGUGAAUCAUCGAAUCUUUGAACGCACAUUGCGCCCCCUGGUAUUCCGGGGGGCAUGCCUGUCCGAGCGUCAUUACAACCCUCAAGCUCAGCUUGGUGUUGGGCCCCGCCGCCCCGGCGGGCCCUAAAGUCAGUGGCGGUGCCGUCCGGCUCCGAGCGUAGUACAGCUCUCGCUCCAGGGUCCGGCGGCCGCCUGCCAGAACCCCCCCAACUCUGUGGUUGACCUCGGAUCAGGUAGGGAUACCCGCUGAACUUAAGCAUAUCAAUAAGCGGAGGA